UAAUGGCAGGUCAGCAUACUGCCGUGAAUACGUUCCCGGGCCUUGUACACACCGCCCGUCACACCAUGAGAGUUGGGGAUACCCAAAGCCCGUGAGCCAACUAUAAAGAGGCAGCGGUCUAAGGUAGAAUCAAUGAUUGGGGUGAAGUCGUAACAAGGUACC
rnacentral:rRNA from 1 species